GCCCUUAUAGCUCAGUGGUAGAGCGCUUCACUCGUAGUUACUGCUAAGUAAUGAAGAGGUCCAUAGUUCGAAUCUGUGUGGGGGCA